rnacentral:rRNA from 1 species
GACGAACGCUGGCGGCGUGCUUAACACAUGCAAGUCGAACGAAGUGGCGAAAGGGUGAGUAACGCGUAAUCAACCUGCCCUUCAGUGGGGGCCAACAGGUGGAACCGACUGCUAAUACCGCAUACUGAAGGAGGGGAUUUCGGCUGAUUAGAUAGUUGGAGGGGUAACGGCCCAACAAUGCGAUGAUCAGUAGCCGGUCUGAGCGGAUGAACGGCCACAUUGGGACUGAGACACGGCCCAGACUCCUACGGGAGGCAGCAGUGGGGAAUCUUCCGCAAUGGACGAAAGUCUGACGGAGCAACGCCGCGUGAGUGAUGACGGCCUUCGGGUUGUAAAGCUCUGUUAAUCGGGACGCGGUACCGGAAUAGAAAGCCACGGCUAACUACGUGCCAGCAGCCGCGGUAAUUC